rnacentral:rRNA from 1 species
GGAUCAUUACACAAAUAUGAAGGCGGGCUGGAACCUCUCGGGGUUACAGCCUUGCUGAAUUAUUCACCCUUGUCUUUUGCGUACUUCUUGUUUCCUUGGUGGGUUCGCCCACCACUAGGACAAACAUAAACCUUUUGUAAUUGCAAUCAGCGUCAGUAACAAAUUAAUAAUUACAACUUUCAACAACGGAUCUCUUGGUUCUGGCAUCGAUGAAGAACGCAGCGAAAUGCGAUAAGUAGUGUGAAUUGCAGAAUUCAGUGAAUCAUCGAAUCUUUGAACGCACAUUGCGCCCUUUGGUAUUCCAAAGGGCAUGCCUGUUCGAGCGUCAUUUGUACCCUCAAGCUUUGCUUGGUGUUGGGCGUCUUGUCUCUAGCUUUGCUGGAGACUCGCCUUAAAGUAAUUGGCAGCCGGCCUACUGGUUUCGGAGCGCAGCACAAGUCGCACUCUCUAUCAGCAAAGGUCUAGCAUCCAUUAAGCCUUUUUUUCAACUUUUGACCUCGGAUCAGGUAGGGAUACCCGCUGAACUUAAGCAUAUCAAUAAGCGGAG